CGGCAACCCAGCAGCAGCGCAGCGCCGGGAGCAGCCUGGAAAGGCGCAGCGAGGAGCGGCCGCUCCACGUUCAGAUGGUGCAGCAAAGCCGGGCUCGGCCGGGGCAGCGCCACAAAGGCGGCUCAGAGCAGCUCCCGCUUCACGGAGCCCAUUCACAGUGUGCCCAGUUUGUGUUUAUUCAUGGGGACCGCAGCACUGAGCUGUGGGAGACGACUCACUUAGCGCUGAGCUCUCAGUAAUUGGCUAUCAGCUCAGCGGUCCUCUUUGUGUCAGAGCAAAGCAUGGGAGUCGCACCACGCGUGACGCCUGCAUGGCAGCACACACCGAGCCGCGGAGACGUCACACAAGCAGAUGUGCCACAGCCCUUUGGAGCAGUGAGCGAACGAACCAGUUGCACAUCUGCACUGAGCAAGCCAAAGCAUGAAUCCUGAAGGCACGAGUGGAAACAAAGAGGUCAGUGCCUUCAGAGCCCCCAGCUCUGUGCACACGGUGCCGGCCCAUUGCCCACCAGCAGCGUGGGGCUGCAGUGGGUGCUGUGGGGCUUCAUGCUGCAGCUGCCCCAGAGAAGGCCAGCAGAGACCCUGCUGGUGUGCAUCACCAUUGGAAACAAGAGGGGGAAUGGGUGUUGCUUAGCAAUGCACUACGGCACGCUCCAGUCCUGGGGAAUGGGCAAAGAGCUGUCAGAAACCCCAGCAUUAUUAUUACUGUUAUUGCAAGAGCACCCAGAUGCACACGGCGCUUUGCAGACAAAAGUAAUCGGUGGUCCUUCAGCCUGUGGAGCUGCAGUGGCACAGGAUGCUGCCCCAGGCAGCAGUGGACACGGGCUGUGGAGCAGAACAGCACAGCAUGGCCCCUUUUGGCCCUCUCCCUGCACCCACUGAUGGUGUGGGAAGGUUUCUUUCUGAGCACGUUAAAGUGAGAAGUGAGCGCUGCCAAACUUCACUUUGCAUCUCUCUGUCCCGGGCUGCUGAAGCUGCAGUGCAGCCGCUGGUGCACGGUGUUGAUCUGAGCUGGUGUGCACCUGAUUGCUUCGUUACCGGGUCGGCUGUCACAUCCAUAGGAGCAGUGUCACGUUCUGAAGGACCCAUUAACACCUGUUGUGUGUGGGGAGGUAUCCUGCAGGCUCUGCAAACCGUGCCGGCUGCUUGCUGUGCGAGAUGGACGUUUCCUUCUGGUGUGGCUGCUCUGAUGUACACACAGACACCUCGCUUCCAAAGGCAGACACACAGCUGCUGUUGCACUGGAGCAGCCCUGGUAGUGGGUCAUUGUACUGCUCUGAGCAUCUCCGGCACUGGGACCCAAAUAUAACACGAGCACUUGAUCCGGCACACAUUUCGGAUAACAGAAAACUUCCUACAGCUUUUAAUGAGUUCUGGACCGGGUCCCAGGUCGUCGUCGUGCUGUUUUGUGAAAUUACUGAGAUUUAUGUCCAGCUAUUUAAUAUCAGCCUGAAAAAAGACCCCAAAGCCCUGCCCCCGCUCAGCAACGUGUCGUGCUCCCCAGCCAAAGACUUUAAUCUUUCAUCUUGUUUGGUUUUUUCCCUCUGCGCUGAUGGUUUUUUUCCUAACUCGGCCACCUCAGCACAACGUUUUGCAGGCACCUGGCAGAGCGCAAUGCAGCAGCUGCAGGCAGGCCGUGGCUUCCAGGAGGUCAGACGGUGAGCGGUGCAGGGCAGCCCUCCCUAUUGGGGUCCGGCAGUGCCCAUCUCCAGCUGGAGCCGCCGCGGAGGGGCCGUGCUGUGCCGGGGAGCUCCGAGCCGAUCGUUUUAAUACCAGAGCGACACCAAAGGGGGUCAAGUAAAUAAAUAUGCAUGCCUCACUAGUUCAAAAUAAUAAAAUUCCAAUGUGUGCAAGCCUGCUUGUUGAACAUAUGUUUGCGGCACGGCUAAGCCAUCUGGCUCAAUGUCAAGCAUUUACACCAACUGCAGUCUUACACUACCUGACAGCAGAAAAGCUUUAUUCCCCUGGUGUUUGGGCACAAAUGGAGAAAUAUUAUUGAAAUGAUUAUCUGCAUCAAGACUCAGAUUUGGUUUGACAUUUAGCUGGCUCUGUUUAAUCCAAAGGGUUGUCUGAAUGAAUAAAGAGAAGGGUUCCUCCAGAAGAUGCUGCGAGCGGCCGGGAGAGCCAAAUGAUUAAUGAGAGCCGGAGCCGGGCGCACCCUGCCCACCUCCACCCGCAUCGGGAAUGAGGACGCACUGCAGCCUGGUGGGAUGCGCACAGCCACAGUUCUGGGCAGAAGGGACUGGGAAGGAUUGCUCCACAUCCCGGCUAAAUCCAUCUACGGGAAGUCCCAGGGCGCAUCCCUGCAUCAGAGCCGGUGCUGCAGGAGAGGAGAGCGUCCCGUGCUGUCCUGGUGCCGUGCAGAGGGCGCGUUGCAGGUCUGGAGAGGGUCCAUCCCGGCUCCUUUGUAGAAAGGUGUGCCGUGACACAGGAACAAAGGAAGAACAAGAGCGCGAAGUUUGGAGCAAGUUAAUAAAAAGCGAGUGGGAGCAGGAUUUGUUUGAACUCACAGGGCUCGCACUGACAGAGACAAAUCUAUCUGAGGAAUCAGGCGUGCUACAUCUGAAAAUAAAAUGGGAUGGAGCUGCAGAGCACGGGGUGAUGAGCAGCGUUACGGCCCAGAGAGCCGCUCUGCCUGGGAGUGCUGAGCAAAGAGCCCCUCCCUCCCCCCGGGAACGCACUGUACCAUUUUAUUCCCCUUUUUCUUUACAUUUCCACUUCCGAUCGCUGAUUUGGAUUUAAAAUUAAUUUGGUGAUUUGAGUUUAAUAAGAAUGUUAGACAUGAUUUCCUUCUCACUCUUACUUUUAAUUAACUUUUUAAUUGAGAUUUAAAUGAAUUCUAAUGAACAG
ensembl:lncRNA